UUUAAUUGAAGAGUUUGAUCAUGGCUCAGAUUGAACGCUGGCGGCAGGCCUAACACAUGCAAGUCGGGCGGUAACAGGAGAAAGCUUGCUUUCUUGCUGACGAGCGGCGGACGGGUGAGUAAUGUAUGGGGAUCUGCCCGAUAGAGGGGGAUAACUACUGGAAACGGUGGCUAAUACCGCAUGACGUCUACGGACCAAAGCAGGGGCUCUUCGGACCUUGCGCUAUCGGAUGAACCAUAUGGGAUUAGCUAGUAGGUGGGGUAACGGCUCACCUAGGCGACGAUCUCUAGCUGGUCUGAGAGGAUGAUCAGCCACACUGGGACUGAGACACGGCCCAGACUCCUACGGGAGGCAGCAGUGGGGAAUAUUGCACAAUGGGCGCAAGCCUGAUGCAGCCAUGCCGCGUGUAUGAAGAAGGCCUUAGGGUUGUAAAGUACUUUCAGCGGGG
rnacentral:rRNA from 1 species